AACGAACGCUGGCGGCGUGCUUAACACAUGCAAGUCUAACGGGAAUGUCGGCUUCGGCUGACUAGUACCGUGGCGAACGGGUGAGUAACACGUGGGUAAUCUGCCCUCGAGCUCGGGAUAACCUUGCGAAAGCGAGGCUAAUACCGGAUAAGACCACGCCCUGCACGCAGGGUGUGGUAAAAGGUGGCCUCUUCUUGAAAGCUAUCACUUGAGGAUGAGCCCGCGGCCUAUUAGCUAGUUGGUAGGGUAAUGGCCUACCAAGGCGACGAUGGGUAGCCGGCCUGAGAGGGUGUACGGCCACACUGGCACUGAGACACGGGCCAGACUCCUACGGGAGGCAGCAGUGGGGAAUUUUGCGCAAUGGGGGAAACCCUGACGCAGCAACGCCGCGUGAGUGAUGAAGGCCUUCGGGUUGUAAAGCUCUUUUAGUGGGGAAGAAGCCCUCCCUGGCUAAUAUCCAGGGGGUCUGACGGUACCCACAGAAAAAGUUCCGGCUAACUACGUGCCAGCAGCCGCAGUAAGAC
rnacentral:rRNA from 1 species